rnacentral:lncRNA from 1 species
UUCUUCAAGUUUCGAAUAAUAUCUGUGAUUUACAAUAACUAGUAAUUGUCUUAAAGAGGCAUUUAGCUUCUGUGAGGCUGUGGAGUUACAGCAAUAGCCUCUCGUGCUAGUAGCUUGAUAAAUUAAUGAAGGAAAUGAUGAAUGCUUAGACUCCAUUGUAAAUAUUUUUUUUUUGACUGAUAGCAUAUCAACAUGACUGAAUUUGGAGAUGUGAAACGAGACAAGAAUGUCACAAUGCCAAAACCUAGGCAACUUUUACAAGGAAACUAAAGCACAACCCAUUUUUAACUCUCAAAGCAAGACAUCUCCAUAAAAGAAUCAGUUGUCUACAUUCAGAGAAUUGCCAGCAAAUCCAACCAUAUCAUCCCAAAUCCAUCCUGGGGCAUGCUAUGUCUAACCAAGAAAACCUCUGGCUUUCUGAUUAACAAAUUGAAAGGUUAAAAAAGAAGGAAGAGACAAAGGAAGAAAAGGGCAGUAGCAUGUCAAGCAGGAGAAUCAGAUUCGACAUAAAGCAUCUUCAAGGCAACUCAUCAGUGGCACUCAGCCGAUGAUCAUGGAGAGAGAGAGAGAGAGAGAGAGAGAGAGAGAGAGAGAGGUAAUCACAAAAGAAUCAUCAGAAAAACACUAAGAAAAAGGGAGUAAAAGGCUGUAUAAGAUACUGUUAUAUAUAAUCACAUUGCAAGACACUGAAAAGCAAAGAUAUGGUCAUCUCAUUUGAUUGCUAAAAGUGAAAAGUAAAGGGUACGUUUGAUAACCAUUUCAAUUUUAGUUAUCAGAUGAGAUGACCAUAUCUUUGCUUUUCAGUGUCUUGCAAUGUGAUUAUAUAUAACAGUAUCUUAUACAGCCUUUUACUCCCUUUUUCUUAGUGUUUUGCUGAUGAUUCUUGUGUGAUUACCUCUCUCUCUCUCUCUCUCUCUCUCUCUCUCUCUCUCUCCAUGAUCAUCGGCUGAGUGCCACUGAUGAGUUUGCCUUGGAAGAUGCUUUAUGUCGAAUCUGAUUNNNNNNNNNNNNNNNNNNNNNNNNNNNNNNNNNNNNNNNNNNNNNNNNNNNNNNNNNNNNNNNNNNNNNNNNNNNNNNNNNNNNNNNNNNNNNNNNNNNNUUAAUUCCAAACCGGCUGGGAAAAAUAAAUCACUUCAGUUCACAUUAGAAAACCAUAUAUGGAUCCUUUAGGUUGACCAGUAGACCAUGUACAGACCCACCAAGUGGACCAUCCAUAGUUCCAAUAAGUGGGCCAGAAGCAUAUAUUCUUAACCAUGAAGUAAUGCAGGCAUUGGUUCCUGGUAAUUUUUAUGCAACAAGGGCAGAUAACUUACUUCCACCAAAAGUUCUAACAUGGAAUUUUUUUUUUCAAGGAAUUGAAAGUCAAGAAAAACAGUCAAUUGGAUAGCAGAGUCUCCAGAACUAGGUCAUAAGAGAACCAGAGCAUAAUUAAGGCUAAACAUUGAUCACUGAAAAUAUGUAAAGAACGGGAUAGGUUGAAUAAGUUGAGAGUUUAGAUUAUAAAAAGAACAAAAUAUUUGGUGUCUUCAAAAAGACAUUCUUUCGUCCUGUAGGUGAAUGAAUAAUCUUUUCAGAAAACACAAAAAGAGAUUCAUAUAAUAUAAGGGCAAAGUAAAUCUCCAAGAAAACAAAAAGAAAGAUGAGCACAAAGCACUAUUUGCCAAUAAACUCAAGUACACUAAUUAAAAAUGCUGAUCAAAACCCAAAAACCAUCAUGCACCUGCAAAAGCAACACAAAUGAGCUAAAUGAAUCUAAAGGCCAGCCAUUUCAAAUACCACCAUUGCCAAAACCAACAUUUCUUCAUUCAACAAGAACAGCAUACAACAACUAGUUCCAUCAACAACAGCCUCAGAAGCUUAAGUUGCAAGCUAAAUUCAACUUCAUUGGAACAACUAAUAUUAUAAACCCCCAAAAGAAAAAAAAAAAAAAGAAGAAGAAAAAAGAAGAGAGAAUACAUUACUGUACAAGCACAAGGCGGUUACCCAUACCUCCUCUGAAACCCCCAUUCCCAUUCCCAUCUCCAUCACCCCAAACAUCUCCACCGCCAUUUCCACCGUCCGAAUUCUCGAUCCCCUCGGCCUUCGGCACCGUCACGAUAAGCUCACCGUCGACGAAAACCGCGCUUGCCAACUCGGGCCGAGUCGACUCGGGCAGCCGAAACCUCCACAUGUCGAGCUCAAGCUCGUCCAAUGUCAAUUCCGCCGACCCACUUUCCCGAACCACGAUUUUGGUCACACCCGGAUAGAUUUCGACGGUGUGGGCCCUCACGCCGUCGCCGAUGUUAUCUGUUUCGGCGAUAAAUCGGAAGCAAUCGGGAUUCUCCUCGACCAAAACUUCGGCGUCAGAGCGAAAUGGGAGCUCCAGGACCCGACUGAAGACAUGAGGCAGGCGGCGGAGCUUCUUGUGGGUCAGACCCAGAAGGGCCUCAGCUUCAGAAAGUGGGUUGCUUGAGUUGUAUUGGAUGGUGAUGUUGCGCUUCUUGGGCAUCGGGUGGACCUUCAUGGCUUGGGCUUCAAUGGCUGUGGUGGAGGUGCAGAAGAAAGAGAGAGAUUGAGACAAGAUUAAUAGAAAUAUGAAAGAUGCCCUUGUGAAAAGGGAAGGCCAAUCUUGGGUGGGAAUCAAAAUCCUGAUUGGGUGGUUGUUUUUAUGAAAAGAAAGAAUCAUAAAGGAUUGGUGGGAAAUUUUGUUUUGGGUAUAUAAGGGUUUUGUUUGGUUUGGUUUGCUUGUUUUGGGAUGAGAAUUGAUGGGAAACUAAAAGAAAUACCCUAACCCUAGAAAUUGGGUUGAAAUGAAUUGAAUUGAAUUUCCCUAUCUUUGUUUGUGUGAGAGAUUUGAGUCCCCAGAAAAGGCAAAAUUCUUUUUAAUGUAGAAUUUGGAGGAGUGGUAAAAGAAAUGUUGUUGCCAAGGCAAAGGCAAAUGCUGUCAAUGAAAUCUCCCUUUCUGGGUAUGCAUAGUGGCUAGAGCCCAUGGGGAGAAUCACUGCAAAUAUAUAAAAAAUGCAAGGAGGGUUGGGGUUUCAUCCUUGGACUUUGCCAAAAUUACAAUUCUGGCCUUUUUUUUUUUUCGGACCAUCCAAAAUCUAAUAGCUUUUUUUGUACCAGAGAAAUCUUGCAGAUCUGAUAUUAUUAGUUUUUAAAUACAAAGGUUGGGUUUUGUUGUCAGUAUAUGCAUGGUUAAUGGGUCAUGGCCUCGUGGAUGUGGAAGCAGCAAAGUGGGUUAAGGCAACGAAUGAAUGACAGACCUUUUAUUUUUGGCAAAUACUGUAUCAGUUCUUUGUUUUUUUUGGAAGAUUUUUUCCAUUGAAAAGGGAGAUAAUAUAUUAAAUUCAAAUACAGUAUAUAGAUGAUAGUACUCGAACUCAAAAUAUUUUUCUCAAAGAGAAAUUAUUCCAAACUAUUACACUAGUAGGUCCUUUGUAUGUAUCAGUUCUUAUAACUAUGGAUUUUAUUUUUGUUUUUGGUUUAAUGGGAGAAGAGAAAAUGGCUCCGUAAAAGAGCAAAAGAUAGAACUCUCUGAAAAAAUUGAUGUCUCUUCUUAAGAGCAAAUUCAAGAGCAUCUUUUAUUCUUAGUGUAUAUUUCAUAUUUUGAUUUAAAGAAGGAGUGUUGAUAGAAAAAGAGGAAAUAAGGAAAAAAAGAAAAGAAAGAUAUUCCUUCAAUAAUAUUAUAGAAUAAUAUACACGUACAUAGCAUGUAGUUUCUUAGUAAUUGUAAGUCACCUUCUAAGCUCUAGAGUCGUGACACAAUUUAGGGUGUCGUUUUGAAUAUUUUGGCUUUUUAUGUGGAACUUUGUGAACACGUUUUGGGAUUCCUUAUGACAUUUAGAUAUUGUGAUAAAUAUUUUUCUUUUUUCUUUUUAAGUAUGGUUUAUUUAAUUUAUUUUUCUUUUUUUAUAUAUUGUUAUAAAAAUAUUAAUAUAAAAAUGGUUUAUUUUCUAUAGUAAUAAAAAUCAUGAACCUUGGUCUUACAAGAGCGAACAACAAUUAAUAUAAUUAAAAAUCAGAAAAAUCAUGGCCAAAAUGCAAUUUCAUUAUUUGUAAUAAGGGGUGGGGGGAAUGGGGGCACAUGCCUUCUCAAAUAUUGAGGGGCACCUUCUUAGAAAUUACAGUCCACCUUCAUCCUUGUCUGAUAAGUCAUGACCAUGAGUUGCACUUUCGACUUUGUAGGACACGGUAAUUAGAGAAAAGAAAUUGCACUUUUGUCACAGAAAACCCUAAACCAAAGCAAAGAAAGAUUUAUGUGGCUGCUUACAUAAUUAUAUAGUUUGAAAAUUGGCUUUUUACAAAAUUUCAAAUGUAUCAACUCAGCAUGUUUUAAAAUUAAAAAAUCAUAAAAAAUACAAGAAAAUUUAAGACAUGACAUGCAUCUUUAAUGUAAUUAUAUAAAGACACGAAAUGAAGGUUCCUUGAUCCUUCCCAGAAGGGCGGCCAACUAAAACAAAACUAUCUUUCAUUUAUCAUCUCUAUAAAGUUUUGGAUUAAAUUUUGUCUGGUUUCAAAUGGCCAAACGCGUGGAGAGGUCCUGCCUGAUGCAGACAGUACUUGCUGUACUUUUCAUUGUAUAUUUCGCAAAAAGAAAAAAGAAACGAGCAUAUAUAUAUAUAUAUAUAUAUAUUUUUUUUUUUUGGUCCUUAAAAAAAAAAAAUUUUAUUUGAAUUAAACCCAAAAAUUAGAGGGUGAACGCAUUAAAACUAGGGACAUUUGGUAAUAUAUUACCAAAGCUUAAUAUAUGCUUACUAGCUUUCCACUACUCUGGAAGCAAGAACACAGAAAGUGCUUAACGGGUAAAUAUGAUAUGUGCAUCUCCAAACCAACCACUUAUUUUUGUUCUCGUCCAUUGAAGGAGCACUUACAUUUACAAGUGCCUAUCGAGCCCAAAUGGUACUUCACUAUUUGAUUCUUCAAUAAUUACACAGCAGUGAAAAGUAAAUGACAGUAACUUGCCUGAUAUAGUUGUAAGUUCAGACAGAUGCUCUUCCUGAAGAAGGCCGUCAAACACACAAAACACUAGGAAAAAGCAAUUGCUAAUUCCGUUUAACUCUCCCCUUUGAUCUUCUCCACUGUUCAAUUGCAUUCAACUCGCAGUUACGUUUGUUGGUAGUGUGGUAAGUCUUCUUGAUGGUGCAUCCGACGCCUACGGUGAGAUCUUUUCCGGUUACGAGUGUGUGCUUUCGGGGAACUGCUAGAGGUACUCGGAAGAAGAAUCUCCUCACUUGUUGUACUACCAAAAACACAAUCAAGCGGGUCUACCAUUGCAUCAACACCCGAGUUCGUCUACAAUAAGAAAAGGCCGAGUCAGUCUACAAUAAGAAAAUUCCGAGUCAGUAUAUAAGGGACCUUUAUCAUAUGCCGAGUCAGUAAGAGUAAUUUCCAAAGUUUCAGCAAUACCUCAAUUCCAAAUCAUUCUUCUGCACUACCAUCAUUGCUUUAAGAACUAAUUUCAUCAGUAGUUUAAGGCAAAUUUUACUAAGAAAAGAAAUUACUCGAUAAGUAUUCUUACAGGAGCUUGUUUGGGAUCAAAUUUGACCCAUUUUUUGUCAGAGACAUUUUGGGUGUGCUGGGAAUCACUGCCAGAGGUAGUGUUUGGGUUACCAUGGGAGUCCUUGUCCGAAUCACCUUGAGAGUUGCUGUAAGAGUCGCUGUCAUUUGUUUCUCGACCAUGGGUAAUGUUAUCACUAAAAUAAUUCCGAUAACGCCACCUUAUUGUUGGUUGAUCUGAGGUAGCAUCAUCAAAAACUUUCUCGGAGUAGAACUGUUUAGAGAUAAGCCGCAUCCUAGAAGGAUCAUUCUGGUACUUCCUCACCAUUCUGUCAUUUGAAUAACAAUUCACGGUUCAAAAAUUCAAUGGGAGCAUAUGUACUCUGAUAAUUAAAUAAAAAAUCCAAGUAUCCCAAGAUGUAAUGGGAGCACAUAUAUUGGUCAUAUAUUAAAUGCAUUUUUUCUAGCCUGGAUAGAUGUACAGUAAUAUGUACUCUGAUAAUUACAUACACAAAUCCAAGUAAACAAUGCCAACGAUGUAACUGAAGGGCAGACAAUAGCUAUACGCAGAAAUGAAGUUUUUCGUGAAUCUAACCAUGUAGAGUAAAUGACAAUGUCUGUGAAAGAGCAGAAGUUUUAAGCAGGGUUGGGCACCACUCCCUUAUUUAUUACAUUUACAACUUAAGAAGCUUACAGGAAAAGGUGAUGGUGGAAGGCAAUAUUGAACGGUAAAAUGAGUCUGUAGUCUAUUUGUCACACUCUCUACGUACUGUACUUUACAAGUCAAGGGAGACUUAAUUUAAAUUUGAAACUAGUGCAUGAGAACAAUAAUAAUAUACCAUGACCUCUCAUAAUAGACAAAAAACUACUUCCAAGAGAGUUAUUUAGAUUAUGAUGCUUAUCUGCACUCUUUAGAAAAAUUUAAUUGCAACAAAACUAUAACGGGUGGCAUGAACGGCAUCCAUUCCAGGCUACUGGCUAGGCCACAAACCUGGAUAAACUAGGCUCUUUGAAAACAUUGACUUUUAACCUUUUCUUUGAGAUGAUUUUUAGCCCAGUGCAACUCCAACUAAUGGGCUACUUCCUAGACUUCGGAAUGAUAUUGACUUGAAUUUGAUAAUCAAAUGAGGAAAACGAACUACUUAAAUUUUCUUAAACUAAUAAGUGAUGCAUCGUGAUCCUUGGCUAACUUAGAUCAGUAACCAUGGCCUGCCAACAUGUCUAUUCAUGAAUGCCAGAAGACAAUAAGUUUUCCUAGAAAACUGCACCGAGUGAAUUCAUUACAAUCCUAAAAAUAAGUAAGGUGACGUACAUAGUUGCUAACUCCGCCUGCAUCCUACUUCCAUCCUGAGAAAGAAUAUGGCUAACACAUGAAUCUAAGGAUCUAGAGAAUCUCCACAGUCCAAAUAAAGCAGCAGCUCCUGCAGAAGAGUAAAACAUGAUUUAAAUGUGAAAUGAUGGAUAGCUAAGAUCAUUGAUAAAUAGAUAGAUAGUUUAAUUCACCUCCUGAAAGGUUGAUUCGAAUAAGCUUAUUCAGCUUUGAAGAUGCUGCCAUAAAGCAAUUGAGAUUGUUAAAAAAGGAAACACAGAAAUAAACGAAAAUGAUGAAAAAGAAGUAAUAGCAAUCCAUAUUCACAGUAAACAAAACUUGAAUCAUUAUAGGACCCAAAAAAAUAACCUAUGAUCUUUUAACCUAAGUUAAAGGCGGCGAAAAAAUAUACAAAAUUGUUUAUUAAAGAAUCCUACCAUAUUUUUCACCAGCUCGAUCACUCGAAUGAGCAUGAAAAAAAUCGAGUACAUUAUUGAUAUGCAGACGGUAAAUGACUCUUAAAAGCACCAGGAAAUAUGUAAGCAGUACAACUCUAUAAACCAUAUAAUUUCAAUUGCGGAACUGAUAUCCUUUUCCACUUGAACUGUUUCAAUAAAAAAGUGAAAAUGAGAAAAAGAAGAAAGAAAAAAAAGGAACAAGAAAGCAGAUGUAUCAAUGGAUUGCUCUUCUCCAAGCAGGGCAGCCCACAUGAUUCAAUAGACUGUACAUAGUGCAUAUCAUGUAAACCUUCAUUAUAGUUUUGUUUUCUAACAAGCAGCCUUGAAACAUACUACGCAUGAAUUUAUUGACAGGUGUUCGAAUCUAUGUGUAGUAAUCUGCAGACAUCUCAUGUUAACUACCUUAAAACUGUGGAACAAUGAGAAGUCGAACUACUAGUGAACCCAUGUUUCUCUAUCCAAAACCAAUCCAAAUUGUUAACUAAAAAUGACCAAAUCACAAGUGGGUUGUCCUGAAUUUGAAUUCAAAAUGCAAGUCAAAUUGGUUCAUAACAAAAAGUCGUUCACCUGUACCACUACUAUUAUAUCAUACAAUUACAAGCUUUGGAGAAAUCAAUGGCAUUGCAAAACUCUGACCUCCCAAUAUUUAAAACAUAUAGAAACUCAUAAUUGGAAGAUUAAAUUUUAAAUUUUAAAAAAAAAAAAAAACACAAGAAAUCAGAAGAAGAGAAAUGUCAAAUGAGAGACCUGUCCAGGCAACACUAGCAGCAGCAAGACCUCCGAAUGUAAACUCCCUGACAGCCUUGGACUUGCAAGUUAAAAGAAGCGUUCUCUCUUCAGGCGUCAAUUUGACCUGAAACAUUAUGUACAGCAAAGUUAGCAAUUAAUGGGCGCUUUUUUGCUACCGUUCGGCCAACGUGAAUUGGCUUUUGGGUUUCGAGGAUUUUGGUGACUGAAAUUUGUGAAUUUUUUUACCUGUUUGGACCUGAAAUGUUGCUCCAGCUCGAACAGAGCUUCACCCAUUUUGCUGUUUUGGGGAUUUCAGAUCAUAAUGUAUUUUCCCGUAUAUAGUAUGCUAUACACUCCAAAACGACAUGUCGUUUGUCAUUAGUCAUGCGAUUAGAUAAACUAGUGCCUCCUGCUUCCCUCCAUUUUUCUUCCAUCAUCCCCCAACUUCAAACCAACCACAGUAACUUUGAAGGUUUGAACUUUGAAGAAAUAUCAAUGGCGAAGAAGCCCUGAGUAAACACUCAAGAAACCAUUUUCCUUCACUUUCUCACUUCCCAAACACAAUGGUAAGCCUUCCCCACACCACUCUAGCUCUCCCUUCAAACCCAAACCCGAACCCGAACCCAAAUGCCAACACACCCACAACCCUCUUAACAGCCAUAUCCUCCUCCAAGAACCUCAGACAGCUCAAACAAGUCCACGCCCAAAUCCUAAAAUCCAAUCUUGACCGCUCCGACGACCUUCUUUUCAAUCUCCUUCUCUCCUCUUGUACCCUCUCGCCGAGCCUCCACUACCCUCUCUCAGUCUUCAACCAAAUAUCGAAACCCCAAACCCAUUUGUGCAACAAGCUCCUGCGUGAGUUCUCGCGACGUGCCGAGCCUGAUAAGGCGCUUUUGGUUUAUGAGAGGAUGAGGAGGGAGGAUGUGGCUGUGGACAGGUUCAGCUUUCCGCCAUUGUUAAAGGCUGUGUCCAGAGCUUCGGCUUUAACUGAAGGGGUGGAGAUUCAUGGGCUCGCCUGGAAGUUGGGUUUUGAUUCGGACCCGUUUGUGGAGACGGCGUUGGUUAGAAUGUAUGCGGCUUGUGAGAGGAUUAUGGAGGCACGCUUGGUGUUUGAUAAAAUGUCUUGCCGAGAUGUCGUUGCGUGGAGUAUUAUGAUUAAUGGGUAUGAUUUCGUUCUAAUGUUUCAAGUUAUUCAAUUUUUUUAUUUUUUUUUUCGCAUCCGAAGGUGAUAGAAUUACUGUAUUAACGUUUUCAAGAGUCCCAAAAGAAGUUUGAAGUUUUGAUCUUAAGGAGCCCAGUAUUAAGAAUUAAGUGUUCACUUAACGGAAAAACAAUUUUUCGAAUGAUUUUCACCUCUAGAUAAUUGAAAGUUUAUCUCUUUCAUUUGACCUGUGACAUUUACAAAUAGGUACUGUCAGAGCGGCCUUUUUGACACAGCAUUUUACCUUUUUGAAGAGAUGAAGAACUCUAACAUGGAGCCAGACCCAGAUGAGAUGAUUCUUUCUGCCAUUCUUUCUGCUUGCGGUCGCGCUGGAAAGUUAACUUACGGGAAAGCAAUCCAUGACUUCAUUAAGGAGAAUGAUAUUGUGGUUGACUCUCAUUUACGAAGCGCUCUUGUCACCAUGUAUGCAGGUAGUGGCUCUAUGGAUUUGGCUCAGCAAUUGUUUGACAAGACAUCACCAAAAGAUUUCGUAGUUGCAACUGCCAUGGUUUCUGGGUAUUCAAAACUAGGGCGGGUUGAGGAUGCACGUUUAAUUUUUAACCAAAUUGUUGAGAAGGACCGUGUUUGUUGGAGUGCUAUGAUAUCUGGUUAUGCUGACAGUGAUCGACCUCAAGAGGCUCUUAGAUUGUUCAAUGAAAUGGAAGUUUCAGGAAUAAGACCUGAUCAGGUCACCAUGUUGAGUGUCAUUUCAGCUUGUGGUCAUCUGGGUGCACUGGAUCAAGCCAAGUGGGUCCAUUUAUAUGUUGGCAAGAAUGGAUUUGGCAGAGUUUUGUCUGUCAACAAUGCCCUCAUUGAUAUGUAUGCCAAAUGUGGGAGCUUGGAAAGAGCAAAAGAGGUAUUUGAGAAAAUGAGAAGAAGAAACGUAAUAUCUUGGACCACUAUGAUUAGCGCCUUUGCCAUGCAUGGGGAUGCUAGUAAUGCACUAAACUUCUUCAAUCAAAUGAAAGAUGAGAAUGUUGAGCCCAAUAGGGUUACAUUUGUGGGCGUGCUUUAUGCUUGUAGCCAUGCGGGGUUAGUUGAGGAGGGCAGAAAAAUCUUUGAAUUGAUGAUCAAUGAAUACAACAUCACUCCAAAACAUGAGCACUAUGGCUGCAUGGUUGACCUCUAUGGUCGUGCUGGUCUCCUGACAGAAGCUCUUGAGGUUAUAGAGGCAAUGCCAUUUGCACCAAAUGUUGUCAUCUGGGGAUCUUUGAUGGCUGCUUGUCAGAUUCAUGGUGAGAUGGAAUUGGGAGAAUUUGCUGCAAAACAGCUUCUUGAGAUGGAACCAGAGCAUGAUGGAGCCCUUGUGGCCUUAUCAAAUAUUUAUGCAAAACAAAGAAGAUGGGAAGAUGUUGGAAUGGUGAGGAAGAAAAUGAAAAAUAGUGAUAUCUCUAAGGAGAGGGGAUAUAGCAGGAUAGAGCUAAACAAUGAGGUACAUGAGUUUUUAAUGGCGGAUAGAAGUCAUAAACAAGCAGAUCAGAUCUAUCAAAAAUUAGAUGAGGUAGUUAGUGAGCUGAAGCGGGUUGGUUAUACUCCAAACACAUGUUGUGUUUUGGUUGAUUUAGAAGAGGAAGAAAGGAAGGAAGCCAUUCUCUUGCACAGUGAGAAGUUGGCUCUUUCUUAUGGUUUGAUAAGUAAAACGAAAGGUUCUAGCAUUCGCAUAGUUAAGAAUCUCAGGAUCUGUGAAGACUGUCAUGCUUUCAUGAAGUUGGCUUCAAAAGUCUAUGAGAGAGAGAUUAUUGUCAGAGAUAGGACUAGGUUUCACCACUACAAACAUGGUUUCUGUUCUUGUAAAGACUAUUGGUAAUGUAUUAUUUGUUGAUAUUAAAUCAGUGUACUUAAUUAAUAAUUUAUUUGAAAUUAAAAUGUAAAUAAUGAAAAUGUUGGUGCUAUAAAAACUUCUAAUAUAAAAUUUAGAAGAAAAGUAGCCUGAGGAUUUGGUCUAAUGUUCUUGCUGGUGACUACCUUUUGAUUGAUUAAUGUGUGCAUGGCCUCUAAUAGUUACGGACACUUCCCUAGAAUUGUAUUUUCUGGCAAUUUGCAGGUGGAACAGCAUAAGGAGAAAAUGCAAUAUUUUCAAAUGACUUGGUAAGGUAAAACUCUUAAGCUACAAGUCAUUUUGAGCCAUGUUCAAGAUAUUUCGUUUAGAAGAAUUUGAGAUACUAUCUGGACUCAUAGAGCCACACAGAAGCUAGUUUCUUGCUAGUUAAUCAAUAUCAGGAAAGCAACAAUUUCCUGAUUACAUUACAUUGUUAGGCAACAUAUACAGUUUGAAAUCAAAAUUAAUAAUUAAGCUCAAGAGGUUCCAGAAAACCACAGAACAUGGGGAAAUUUCUUUUUUAAGCUUCUCACAAGAUAUGAGAUCUGGAUAUCUGCUGAGAGAAGACAGUGCACCUCCGAUGUCCACUGAUUCUCUUUAGGUUGGGAUUUUGAUGUUAUAUUCUGCAGCAGUUUGAAGGUACUGGUUGUUUCCAAAGGUAGAGCAGAGCCAAAACUUCUGCUUCAUACUUCCAAGCAUUCUUGACAUCCUAUUCUUCAAAAAGGCUAUUGCAGCGGAAACCAAUCUUUGGCUAUCAAAUGUUGAGCUCCACUGGUACUCAAGAAUCCAUGUAUUCGGAUCUAACUGCACAGCUGAGGCACCCCAAUUUUUCUGCACCCAGGAAGUGUUUGCCUUUCGAAUCACAUAGCCAAGCUUUCCAUCCGACCACUUCUCAACAACAACGACAAUGGGGGUAAGGAAGUAGCAUAUGUUUGUACAUCAUGACACAAAACUGAAAAAACAUCUCAAGGGCUGACCAUACUAAGGCUAAUAGAAAUGAUCUAGCAACAAAGUUUUCAGCUUUACCUCUGUGACUCUGCCGGAUAAGAUUGUGAAAGACCGGGAAGAAAAUCCACUUGUGAGCAACCCUGCGGUCUGCAAAGGCCAUCCCCAUACGCUCACCUCCUCAAUUGCAGAUUUAUAUAAUGUGCAAUGUGAGCUCAGAAGCAAACCAUCCUAACAAAUCAGAAAUUUCAAGUUUUUACCAAAAGGGUUGAACCAAAUAAGCUGAAUAAAAUUUACUUCAAAGAGAGAAAGAAACAGAAGAAGUUUGAUUACUACGCACCUGACUAAUUUCCCAUAUAGAAUUAGAAUAGCUGCAAUUUGAAACCUUUCCUUGAACAAGACCCUGCACCUCUUUCUGCAAGAACCUCAGCCUCCCAUUCAAAUCAUCCACAACCCAAGAUUUUUCACCAACAUUUCUCACCAUCUCAGGUGAUAGAACAGGUUUCAAAGCCCCAGAGACCAGAUUAGAAACUCCACACACAGCAAAAUAAACCAAGCUUAAACCCAAAAUCAUUCUCCAAAAAUCACACCCAAAACCCCAAUUUCUCUCCCUCUUCUUAAUCUUUUCCUUCACUUUGAAUCUUGCAGCCGAUUUACGACCCGGGGACACCGGAAUCUGAGAAGAGUUUGAUCUGGGUGUGGACAAAACCGAAGCAUCAAAAGAGAUGGGAGUGAGUUCAACACUGCGGUUGGUCUUGGGCCUUGAAGCUGAGAACUUGGUGAGUGUGCUUUUCUGGGAGCUAAAAGGCAUGAGAUCAAGAGUGGCAUUGAUGCUGGCCAAGCACAUGUCACACUUGCAGUUGGCGUCUUUUCUGCAUCCUGGGUAGUAGCAGCUGUCACGAUUUUCAGAUCGGUCGUCUUCCAUGGCGGCGGUGGUGGUGCUCGAUUUUACCGAGGAUGAUGUUGUGGUCGUCGUGGUUGACGAAGAUGAGAGGACGGUUUUCAUGGCUGCUUGGGUGCUUCGGGGUUUAGGAGAGUGACUCGGUUUAUUAGACGACAUGGUCUUUUAGUGUUGUUCAAUGCUUGCUGUGCGGGGAAGAUAUGGGUUUUAAAUUUCAAAAUCCCCAACGGUCAUAUAUGGCAUUGGUCAGAUACGAUUUAUUUUUUAAGCAUAAGAAGUAAUGUUACCUAUAUGGCUUUUCAAAUUACCAUAUAGGUAAGCAAAGUAAAUUAUGAAGAGCCAUAUUUACUUCAUUUCAGAUAAUAUGAGCAAACCAUCCCUUAUUCAUAAAUAACAACAAUAAUUACACGGACUGCCUCAUGUAUAACUUAUGCAAAAUUAACUCAUAAAUUGAUUUUUUUUUUUAAGAAAAUAAAAGCGCUUUGUAAAUUAUUAUUAUAUUUUUUUUUGGGUCUGACUUUGUAAAAUUAUUUAAGAUAACUAAAUAUAAUUAAUUAGUAUUUAUUAAGUAAUUUAUGAAAUUAAUUAAAAUACUUAAAUAAAGAAUAAUUAAUAUAAUUAAAUAAGGCUAACAUAUUAAUUAAUUGCAAAUUAUUAAACUAAACAAACUAAUUUUGUAUUAUAAAAAAUUUUAAAAAAAUAAAGUCCACAAAAUAAUUUAAAAUAAUUAAUUACUAUUUAUUAAGUUUGAUUAAAUUAGUAAAAUAUUUAAAUACUAAUUAUUCACUAAAGUAAUUUUAAAAGGCUAAAGUAUUACUUAAUUACAAAAAAGAAAACCAUUUUGUACCGUAUAGCCGACCGGCUAUACUUUAAAAAAUUUACAUCGCGUACGGCCGAGCGGCUGUCCUUUUAAAAUAUUCGAAUAUGUUUAAGUAGUAUAGCCGCAUAGCCGUGCGGCUAUACCUUUAUAAUACAUUAGUAUAGCCGUGCGGCUAAACUCUUUAAAUGUAUUACUAAAAGUAUAGCCGCGCGGCUAUACUUUAUAAAAUGGUUUUUUUAAGUAAUUAAAUAAUACUUUAGCCUUUUUAAAUUACUUUAAUUAGUAAUUAUGUUUUAAUUAUUAUUUAUUUAGUGAAUAAUUAGUAUUUAAAUAUUUUACUAAUUUAAUCAAUUACUUAAUAAAUAGUAUUUAAUUAUUUGCAAUUAAGUUAACUUAACCUCAUUUAAUUAUAUUUAAUUAUUCUUUAUUUAAUGAAUAAUUAGUAUUUAAGUAUUUUAAUUAAUUUCAUAAAUUACUUAAUAAUUACUAAUUAAUUAUAUUUACUUAUCUUAAAUAAUUUUGUUUCAACAAUCAACUGUUUACUAAUUCCUCAUAUUCCUAUUUAUAUCAAGUGAAUAUGCUAGGCAUAAGUUAGGCAUAAUGCUUAUUGUAUACUCCUAUAGGAAUCAGUGCAAAUGACAUAAUAUUUAACAUUAACAUGAGCAUCUGAGUUAAUUUUGUUAUAACAUGAGCAUUAUGUGCUUGUUUUAGUUUAUUUCUCCUUUAAUGUCCGUCUAUAUCUAUAGCCAUUUUAAUAAAGGAAAACAAGAUGCUCGGUUAACUUGUCUCUUGUGCUUUUCCUUCAUCCUCCGAAAAGUAGGUGUGCUAUUUGCUUUUUUAAUAAGAAUCCCACGACAUAAUAGUUGUGCUUGUGUGUGUGAAAUUUUCAUUUCCUGUAGUUUAAGUUAUCGUUUGUAUUUAAAAAGAAAAAUCUAUUUUCACAAUUCAUUUUCUUUUCCUUCUUCAUGUAUUUAAUAGAAAGCAUGUGCAAAGUUUGACUAAUCUUUCUCGAGAAACUGCUGCUACAAGAUGGGAUCCUGCAUUUUGCUCGUGUUGGUUGAGUUUUGGGUAAAUAGAAUUUGCUGGAAUUGAAAGCAGGCAUAUAUCUGAGGAUAUGUGGUUGAGGUGUACAAGUUCUACUCUGAGACUAGAUUUCUACGGUUUCUUGUACGCCACACCAAACUUUUGGAAUCAGAUUGAUUCAUGAAAUGAUGCUUCUUCAUGAGCCGUAGCAGAGCAGGCAUUGACAAUUCAGGUCACACAUGGCAAUGGCAUCUUCUAAUGCUUUACUAAAGUAAAAAUAAAACAGUAUGCCACAAAAAGCACGGUAACAGAUCACAUGGACCAAACCUAGUGAAAAAAUCUGCCCACAAUGAACUAGGGAUUUUUGAUUAGGGUGUCAAUAUUAUGCGUUAAUAUUUUCCGUCAAAAUAUGUAUUUUAAUUUUUAAAAUAUAUCAACUUUUAUUUUGUGUUUCACACAUCUGUCUCGUAUCAAAACUCACACAUUCACACACACGUGUGAACAACUAAGAAUUGUUGAUUAAUCAGUUCUCAAUCAAUUAUUCACGUUUGUGAUUGGAUGAUGGUAGCAUAUAAGAUUGUAGAAAUUAUCUUCCACAACCACUUAUUAAUUAUAUUGGGAAAAGUCAUGCAUUAGGUAAUAUAUUGAGGCUAAUGGAAUCAUAUUUUGUUAAUCAAUUAGUCCUUUCUAGUGGAGUGGGAAGUUGACCCAUAAUUGUUGCAAUUCAUUUAAAUAAUGGAUAAAGACCAGAUAUUCUCUUCCUUAGUUAUUGGUUUCAUAAAUCCAGGGGAGCCAGGUAGGAAAAUAUAUAUCUUCUGCAUCAAGAAGCAUUUCAAGCCCAAUCAUUCUACAUUACAUUCUUCCAAACCACUUCAAGCUUUGUUGAUGUCUAAACAAGUUUAUUUGACUGGCAGGGUAAAACAAAGCUUUCUUGUAAAACAGUGAAUGGAAUUCUAUCUUGAAACAACUUUUAAGUCAUCAAAAGAAUAUCAUGAUGCUUUAAGAAAAGCAGAAUGAGUAGAAAAAAAAGUCAAAAAGAGAAAACUCAGGCUGUCUCUUGUAAAGCAAAGUUAAAAAGGAGAAGAAAAAAAGGGUUUAUAUAUCUGGUGUUUUGGAAAUUAAUUUACUGAAGAAAAAGAAGGAUGAUGGAUUUAGUUUCCUCAUUCAUUUUAGCAGUUUUAAUCUCUCUGACCAAGAAAAGAAGAGUGAAACAUACCCCAUAUCAAAUGGAACAUGAUAAAGCAAAGCUAGGAAUAAAAAAUCCCCCUGUACAAGACUUAAAAGUCUAAAGAUUGAGUGAGAGAAACAUAACUCAUAAGCCAUGAAAUUAACUACCUUCAUAUCUAUAUAAUAUAAUUAUUCCAACCAAGAAACAUAUGCCAUUGCCACCUCCUCUGUUUCCAAUUAGUACAAUGAGAAAGAAGAAGAAUCACCCACUUGGGAUGUGCUUGCUGAUCUUGUAUACUUCUUUGGUGAGGAAGAUGAUGGUGAUGAGGACAUGUCUGAUCUUCUCCUAAGCAUCUGCCUCAUCCCAUCUGCUACUCUAAUUGCAGGGUUGGAUUUGAAUUUGCCACAAAAUGACAUGUGAGCUCUCACAGCUUCUUCCAUACCAAAUGACUUGUUGCUGCCUUUGCUAACCUCAUCUCUAACUGCUUCUGAGCACAACCCACAUAACCAUUUCCCAUCAAAUUUGGCCUUCACUUGACUGAUGUAGUCUUGUGUGCAAUCCUCUUUUAGUCCACAACACUCACACUUUACCUGCUCAAUCUCCAUUUUUGUUUUUCUUUGAUCUCUGCUUUGCUGAAUUAUCAAUCUCUGAGAGAUGAAUAUUCUUUUUUCUUCCUUAAGUGUCAAAAGGAUUCAAGAAAGGUGAUGAACAAGGUAUUGCAGAUUAUAUGGAUGUUUUUGUAGUUGGAUUUGAUUGCAAUGAUGGUGUGGAAAGUGGGUUUCUUUUCAUUUCUUUUGUUUUUCUUUUGAUGUGGUGUUGCUCACUUGGUAAGGAUGCUAUUGUUGCUUCAAGAACUAACAAGUGUUUGAUGUAUUGUAUGAAAGCUUUUAUGGUUGGAUGUUGUAUGAGAGCUUUUAUGGUUGGGAUUUUCUUUUUCUUUUUGAUUGGUUAUGGUUAUUGGAAAUUUAGGAGGGUGAGAGAGACAAAACAGAGAGGGGAGAGAUCGCUCUUAUAAGGUGAGGGUAGAGAAAACUGCCAUAAUUUCCUCCAUGUUCUAAGGGACAUGGGGCAGUGGGAAAUGAGACAAGAGUGGUCGGGGGGUCCUCAGGGUUGGCCCUUUCUAUCAUAUGCAAAUACUUAAUUCCUAUCCCCCCCUAAAUAAACAAGGGUGCGUAGGUUUUGGGUUGUAAAUUACAUCUCUCUCCACAACGAUUAUGAUAAAGUCGUGCAUUUUGAAGUCCUCGCACGACUGACGCUAGUAUAACUCUUCUAUAUAAUAUAACACGACUGAUGCUGGUAUAACUCUUUUUAUAUAAUAUAGAUUUCUUACUUUUUGGUAGUUUUGGUGACAGUUACUUUCGGUUGAAAUGGCUUGUAGUGAAUGUGGCUUGCCUUAGCUCUGUCUAGCUUUUGGCUAAAGCUUUGGCUUUGGGUAGUUUGUUUGGUUAUCUUAGUUCCAUGAAUGUGUUGACUUAACUGCUGACCAUCUGACUUUCAUUUACUAUAGUAAUAAAGCCAACAUCACUACCAUGCUUUGUUGACCAAACAGGCCUUGGGUGGUUCAACAGCCAAUGAUUGAUCAGGAUGUGCAUUAUUAGGGGUUAUGAUUGUAUGUUUUGCCCUACACACUGCCCUCCCUCCUUGUACAUUCUUAUGGAAAUGAAAUGAGAAAUAUUUUCCUCUCCUUUCAUCCUCUGGUCAUGACAGCUGAAAUGUGACAUGGCAAUUAGCAAGAGAUAAUUAAGAUGAAACUUGAACACUUAAUCACUAUGUAGCCAUUAAUUAUUGCAAUAAUUCAAACAACUUUGUCCUCCUUUUUUCUUUCAAGUGUCAACAGAGCAGAGAAGGUAUGCUCAUGUGCUAUAGUCAAAAUUCACAAGUGCUGUUGUUUUCUCCGCCCGGCAAAUCCCACCCAAAGAAAAGAGAAAAGGGAAGGAAAAAGAAAAGAAAGCAAAUGGGAUGCAUUUGUUGACAUGCUCUUUGGCAUUGCAUUACAAAACUUGCUCCUCUCUCUCGACAAUUUUUCUUCUUUUUUUUUUUUUUGUGGGGUUGGUGAUGAUGCAAUGCAACUGUAUCAUGGCACCAUUAAGAAGGAAGCAAUCUAUGAUUUUUGUUCAGAUGUCGAAGCAAUCUAUGAUUAAGAUUUUUCACAUCUUUAUUUUUUCUUGUGGGGUUUUUGAAGCUCCCAUCUUCUCAUGCUGCAAAGUUGCCAUCACCUUCCAUCCACAGUGGAGUUUUGUCAUGUGUAGUAAUGUUGGCUUGAUUUGGCUUGAGGGUUCAUUAACUCAGCCCAUGUACUGGAUUGUAAGUGGUCAAUUACAGUGGGCAUGGAUUAAUAAUUUGAAGGGUUUUCCUCCAAAAGGAAAGUGAUGUUCAAGAUUAUUUUAACUGGAGAGUUCAGUAUUUGUGUUUGCUAGUAUAUAUAUAUAUAUAUAUAUAUAUAUAUAUAUAGUCUCCUUUUAUUGAGGAAUAUUUCAAAUUAUUUGAGGAACGUCCUUUAAGGUACUAUACGAAUUUUUUUUCAACGAUCCUAACUGUCUAAUUUUCAAGUCUUCAUUCAUAGAUCAUCCUUGCAAAAAAAAAAUUCAAAAAAAUUGAAAAAUAUUAAGACAUCUAAUUGAGACUAACAAAAUCAAUGAAUACGGUGCUUCAAGAAAGUAUUUAAAUUUCAAUAAUUUAAUUGAAUGGUCAAAUGAUAUCGGAUUCAAGUAAUUUUUUGUAAAAAUGGUCUUUAAACCAUAUAUAUAAGAGAUAGACACGGAACCAUAUACAAGGAGUUGAAAUGAAUGAAUGAGAUAACCCAUUGAAGAGGCAAAAACAAGGGGCGCACAAAGUUGCUUGCUAACUUUUGUUACAUAUCUUGCGACCAAAACAAUAACAAAAACUUAUGUAAAUUUUCCCUUUUGUAAAUUUAGUAACAAGGGACAAUACACAAAUGACAUUACCAAAAGGGUAAUUUUUUGUUCUUUUAUAUAGGUUUAAGUCAAUUUAGUUGUUAACCUGCCAUUCAAUUUGAAAACGAAAGUGAAUUUAAGAUUUCCUUUUUUUUUUUUCUCUUGAAUUACAUGAUGACACGAAGAAUUUAUAUUUGAAAUAUCUUUCAAUCCUUUUCGUAUUUGAGAUAUCUCAAUAAAUUAGAAUUACAGAGGCGAAAAUUCAGGCAAACUAUUUCAUUUGCCCUAUUUUCACUCACUGGACAAGGCUCAUGCUUUCCAUGUUCUGUCAACCAUCUUAUCCAUAGUAAUUACAAGAUACCAUUCUCACUUGACAUAGUCAUGAUGACACGUUAUUUUCAUCAUUCUGUCCAACGAAAGAAAACCUUUUCAAAAGGGUUUUCUUUUAUUAUUCAAACACAGACUCUGAUAUGACAUAAAUUGUCAAAUCAGAUUUUUAUUUUCCUUUUCGAUUAGCAUUUUAAGUGGUUGUAAGGUUAUUAACAUGUUAAUUCAGUAUGAUCUUUACUUGGAGAGAUUUGUAUUAACUUAGUUGGUUAGAUUAGUGUGUUUGUUCUCUUCGCUUGAUGAGUUGGAAUUCUCGUCUCCGUAAUUUAAAGUAGUAAUUCACAAUAUCAUUAAAUUUGAUCUCUCGUUAAGUACAAAGUAAGCGAUAAUCGACAAUGCAAAGUUAAUCCGAAAAGCGAAAGAGAUAAUCACAAUUUGUUGAUGUUAAUCAUAUAUGUCCACCAUCCCUUAAUAAUAAUUUGCUAAAUCUUUAGAUAUCAAGUGACGGACUACCUACUACUAAUUGGAGUUUGAUCCUACUAGUCCUUAUAUCAAUAAUUGGAACCAUUGAUUGAAAAACAUACGUUCAAGAAAUCUUAUGAAGAUUUAAUCAUGGAUUUGUACAUCUUAAGCAAUGUUAGGCAGCCAUAAGCACACAUUUGCCACGCAACUUAUAAGAUUUGAAUGGUGAACCAGUUGGGUUCUCGUAUAGCUAUCUGCGUGAUGAUUUUUAUGUCUAAUUUUGUACUUUACUAUCUAAAGGGACUAAAUCCCAACCUAGAAGAUUAGUAUGCACAUGUCUAUAAAAGGGAAACGUCACAAUUAAUGAGGACAAAUAACUUUGGUUUUGAACCUUUGUACAGAUUAUUUCUACAGUUCAAUGUAUGUACGCCAAUUGACAUAUUGUUGAAUAAUAUAAGUUCCAUAUCGGAAACUUGACUAAAUAAAAUAAAAUAUAUAAUGAAUGGUUCUACUACUAAUGUAACCGAGGUCUUUCGUGAUAAAACUCCACACCUAUUAGGCUUUGUAGGUAAUUAAGUUGAGAAUAAUAUCGGUAUUACAACAUAAUAUGACAAUCACGUUGUAUAGUUCGAUUGGAUGCUUGUGUACAUAGGGAUGAUCUCUCGACUGUUUGAGAAAAAUGAUCAAAUAGGUUAGUUUGUUUUUGCAUUUUUAGCAUCUUUACAGUUUUUGGAUUUCUCUACUUAAGGAAGAGUAAUGCUACACUUAUCACAUUUUUAUCCCAUAUUUUUGUACCACAUGAUGUGGUAUGUCUAUAUCAUAUGACACAUCAAUUAAAUCAAUAAAAUGUAUUUUAAUAAAGAAAGUUUAAUUAACAAUUUUUUUAAAGUAUUAAUAAAUCAUAAAAGAAAAGAAAAUAUUAAAUAAUUUUAAUUGAUGUGACUGUCCACCUCAUCUGCUACAUAAGGUGGUAUGAGAAUGUGGUAUACAAAUGUGGUAAGAGUGGCAUUAUUCCUUAAGGAAUUCUAUAAAAUAAAAAAAAUUGCAUUACUUAGUCGUUGGUGUUAAAGAUUGUGAAUCCCACAUCGAAAACUUCAUAAAAUAAAAUAUAACAUAUAUUAAAUGGUUUAAUUAUUAAUAACAUCAAGUUAUUUUAUAUAAAACUCCACAUAUGUCGAAUUAUACAUGUAGUUAAAUUGGAGACAAUAUCUAUCGAUUUAGUAAUAUUGGUUCUCUCUUUCUCUUUCCUUUUCUUAAUAAACUAGCCCCUUGACACAUGCUCACGCAUGUGCCAAUUGGUUUUCUUUUUCUUUUUUAUUUUAUUUUUAGAAUUAAUAAAAGAUAACAGGGUAGUUAUCUAUCUUCUAUAUAUAAAGCAAAAGGCAGAGAAUGGUGAAACAUUCAAAAUACCAGAAAAUGCCCUUGAUUAAUGCAAACAUUAAGAAUUGAAAUUAUUAAUUAAAUGAGGAUAAUAUGGUAAAUUCACAAUUUUUUGUAUUAAAAAAAUUAAAAUUAAAAGAAAAUUCAGAUAAUGGGUCCUAUUUUUAUGGAACACAAAUAUCCAUUAUCUUUUUUAAUUCUAAAAUAAAUUUAAAUUUUUUUUAAAAAAAACCUCUCGCAUGCGCGGAAGCGCGUGCAGAGAGGCUAGUGUUCCAUAAAAGUAGGACCUAUUAUCUUAUUUUGUUUUUAAUUUUAAUUUUUUUAAUAUUAAAAAAUGUGAAUUUACCAUAUUAUCCUCAUUUAAUUAAUAAUUUCAAUUCUUAAUGUUUGAAUUAACAAAGGGCAUUUUCUGGUAUUUUGAAUGUUUCACCAUUCUCUGCCUUUUGCUUUAUAUAUAUAGAUUAAUAUAUAAUAAAUUUCCAAGUAUAUUUCAUAUCGGAUAAAAUCCACCCACUAUCUCUUUAAAUUAAUCCAUCCGUGCCAAUUCCCAAGUAUAUAUAUUUUAUAUCUUGUCCUCACAAUGCUUCACGACAUCCAUGAGAACCCAUAUUGUUGCUCAAAAUAGUUUUGGAACCUUCUACUAUUGAAGGAGCUAAUCCAGAAGAAAUUGGGAAAUCAACACUCUUUGUCUGUGGGGGAUCAAUGUUUAAUUAAUAAAUAAAUAUAUUUUUAAUGUUUGAACCAAAAAAGAAAGGCAUAAUUUAUAGAUGAAUCACGACCAACCAUGUAAUCCGAAUAAAACCUCUACCCAAUUUAUAAUGCAAGAGGAAGCAAUAUAUUACCUACACCUAGAAUUUGGUUUGCUUCAUGUGAGUCGUCCUUCAACUUCAUGCAUAAAAUAACUAGUAGUAUAUUCAAUCGCAAUAUUUAUAAGCCUGUAUUUACUAAGUAUGGGAAAUGAAAUGAUUUUUCAUUCCCAAGCUCCUUUUCUUGCUAACCAAACGUCCCCUCGGAGUCCUAAAAGAUGUAUGAACAAGCCAUGGGCAAGCAUGUGGGGUUGCCCAAGUUGAAGAGAGCCCCACUUUCCCAAAAACUGUGGCCAGACAAAGAGUCCUUGUCAUGAAACGGGACGUUUUGAGUAGUUGUCUGGUAGAUGUCCGGCAAUUCUAGUGGCCACAAUGUUAUUUCCAAAUUCCAACUGAUAUUGUUUGUGGGUUGAUCGCAAGAUAUGGCCCAAACUCCAAUAUCCCUCCAACUGUUGCUUGAACAGGAAGGAAUUCAUGGAUAUCUAUGGCAUGCAUUUGGAUUUCAUCUGGCGCCUUUUUCUGUGUAUGUGGCCAAACUCACUUCAUUCAUGAUUUUCAGAUUAGCUGAAUGUGACCUUUUAUAUGUUGAGUAACAAAUAGAUAUGAUUCAUAUGAAUGAGUUAGGUAUAUGUCCUAAAACACCAACUUGCACUCAUAUUUCCCUUUUCUUAUUUCAUAGAAUUGGUCAAUAAUAUAUAUAUAUAUAUAUAAAUAAAAUCAUAUCAAAUUUCUUCAGAAGGUUUUCUGCUAUAUAUGUAUAAUCCUAAAAUGAUGAAGUGCUGGCUUCUCGGCUAGGAGUUGGCUUAACAAAGUAGACAAGCCACUUAAGAGUGAAAGUUUACCUCGUUUGAUUAAGGGAGUUAAUUUUCUCAUUCAUCUUUUGUCCGCUUACACUCCAUUUGUUGAAAAUUGUAUGUUCUCACUCCUCUUUUGUCCUCUUAUACUCCAUUGUAUGUUAUAGUGAAAAGUAUUUUUAAAAAAAUAAAAGAAGUGUAAGUGGACAAAAGAGGAGUGGGAAAAAUCAACACUCUUGAUUGAUUUGUCUGGUUAAUUAAUCUUAAUGCAUAACUUAAUCCUUGUCCUUUGUAUUGGGAUUUAGAUACCCUUUUUAAGGCAUUUUUUUAACAAACAUUGUUUAAACUUCUUCCCCAGAAUCAUUUCCUGGUUUGGGAUUUUUAUAUGCCUGUAUGCACUGUUUUGAGGUCAUUGAUUAAUCACAUGGGUUUCUUGUUUGGUUCCCAUUAUCAAAUGAAGUAUUGUAUGUUUAAGUAUUUGAUAGGGAAGGUGGAGUCUGUUCAAAAAUUAAUUGUCUUCACAUGGCAUUCACAUGCACUCACUCUCCUCUUGCUUGCAGGCCUCCCUCCCUCCCUAUAGCAGCUACCAAGAAUUCUUCUCUCUCAACUCACCUAAUGCCUGACCCCCAAUGGUACUGAUAAAAUCAAUCAUUUGGCACUUGCAGACUCUUUUUUAGCAUAAGGGCACUUGCAACUCUAGUUUUAGACCAACCAACCUACUUCUUAUCUUCAAUUUCACUGGAACAAUCCAAAUGCAUUGUAUUCACUUAUUGAUUAUAGUCGCAAGAUUCAACAAAAUAUCAUCAUUGUUUAUAUGUUUUUAUUUUUAUUUUUAGGUGACUAGUAUAAGUGGUAGCACAUGAAUUCUCUGUGCAAUAAUUGGUUUUUAAUUAUAGAUUGUAUUGUUGAUGGGAUAUUGACAUUUUGAUAAAAUGUCGGUAUGUUAUAUUAGUGACAAUGGUGCCGACAUAUUAUUAUUGGUAUAUCGACAAUCUAGGUAGCUAGAAUAUCCAAUUUAAUUAUGACUCUCUAUAUAUCAGUAGCAUUUCAUUGUUUUUAUUUCUUUAAGUUUAUAAAUAAGACAGAAGGAGCUUUAAUUUUAACAUACUAUACAGUUUUAGAAUUCUGCGACGAUAAAGGAUUCAACGGAGUAGGGUUAUAGUUUGUCGGAGAAGGUUGAUAUGUAAGAAAGACACCCCCCCACCUCCUCUUAAAUUUUAAAAACAGAGACAUAACCUAGUACUUCAUAAGGAUCAAAAGACAAAGGUGCGUUAUUCAUUGUAUACUGCUUAGGGAAAAAAUAAUUGAAAAACAAAAACCAGGAGUAAUAAUAACUGUGGGCUGGACAUUAUUAUGUGGGGCAUGUAGUUGGUAUAGAAUAGUAUAUCAUGGUAUUUUUAAUAAUUAAAUCAGCCUCAAUCAUUUGGACUGGAACUACUGUUUUCAGCCUCUUAUCUCGAUUAACUUCACAUGAAGCCUUUUGGGUGUUGGCCAUGCUGUCCGAUCCAAUGCAUGAGCCAUGGAGAUUCUACAAACUGGUGUUACCCAAUCACACGUAUCAUAUCCUUCCUUCUGCAUUUGGAAACAACAUAAAGAAAUAAUAUAAUGUUUCCCAAACAAGUAUUAAAAAAAUGCAAGCAGAGCAUUUAUUUAUAAUAUUGCUGAUAUAUGCCAGUGCAGAUCAAUUGGACCUGAGAAUUCACGGUGGUAUCAGAAUACCACAUUACUUGUAUCCCUGCAGGAAAUUAGUAUAGAUUGAUGGUUUGGAUUGGAAAAUUGCCAAAUUUAAGGUAUAUAGAAGGAAGAAGUAAAGGCAAUCUCUCAAGCGUUGCCUAAGUUGAAAGCAGAAAAUAGAUUAAUCGCAAGAGAAACUUAUCUUUUCUAAUCCUCACAAAAUAAGCAAUUAUUUAACUUUACCUUCAUUUCUUACUUCGCCCUACCUUGAUCAUUUGAAACUACGGCCGUUGGUUUUGUUUGUAGCCAAGAUGAUUAGGAUGAUGUAUUUGUUGGAUUAUGAACACUAACUAAAGAGAAAGCAGUCGUGUAAUUUUGUCGUAUCAAUCUGAGCCUCUUGCCUAUCACAAUAAUGAGACAAUAUUGAUUGUAUCGACAUAGGAUAUCGAGAUCGUAUCAAUAUAAUUCGACUAUUUUCUACAAUAAUAGUGUUUGCCUUUUACCUUUUCGUUUUCAGCUUAAAUGGAAUUCCAAUCACUAGCAUACCCUCGAUUGAAAAACUACAAAUAAUAAUAAGGCAGAACAGCACUGGGAUAACUUUCACAAGAGGAUGAGCAAAUACUGGAGGCUGCAUUUCUCGUACUACUACUACAAUUAAAAGUACUAACUCCUUUCAAACCAAAAGAAAAUAGCAUGAUCAAUCUACACUAUGCCUAUCGGGUGAUAUAUACAAAAUUCUCUCUUCUCGUUCUUGUUUAUGUGUGAGUUACAGUAUGAGCAAAAGACUUACAAGUUAAGCUUAGGAGUGAAGGGGAUCCUCAAAACGGGGAUGUAAAUUAUCUUUGGAUUGGAUGAGGUUAGGGGCAAACAACCAAAACUCAAUUAGACUUCAUCUCAAUAUCUAUAUCUUCUGCACUCUCCUCUGGCUUGGCAUUAAGAUGAUCUCCCGGAAGGAGGCCAAGGAGUGGUAAAGGCAACAAGGAGCUGAGGUUGCACAGGAUGAUCAACAAGGCCAAGUUAUCAUAUUGGUCUUUGGUUAUGCCAAGGAGCUGGGUCAGGCCAGCACCCAUGAGCCCUCCAAGAACACUCCCUGCAUUUGAAAUGGACAUGAGCGUUGCAAAAAGUGUUGCUUCCACUCCCUCAGGGCAUAAUCUUGCAGCCAGCACGAGAACAGGCAUGAAAGAAGCCUGUAACAAAAUAGGAAUUAGUUUGGCACUAGAACCACUCACAGAAUCAGUUUUGCAAAACAAGCAUGUGGUCAUCGUGAAUAGAAAUUGCAUUCUUUAUUCUUCUACGAGUGACUUCAUCAGUUUAAUUUCUUUGUCUAUCUAUCAAUCUGUAAGGAAGGCUUGAAACAAUCUUCGACCAAAUUUUCAAGGCAUAUUAGGAAAUGAAGGUAUUGGCAUACGUCCAAGGAAAUGAAACAUUUUCUAACAAAUUACAAUAGGGUACAUCAAGAGUCAACAUACACCCAUUUCUAUUAAAUGUGUACCUGACUAAGAACCGUAAUAACCAAAGAAUCCCCCAGUGCAAACCACUCAUCACUUAUACCAAAUUUACGGUUUAAUCCAGUCACAAGGAAAACCUGAGACAUAAGAUCCAUAGAAAUUACAUAAUAUUUCAUUCGGUCAAUUCAGGGAUGGAAUCAUUAAUAGCCUUAAGCAAGUAACUUGUAUCACAAACCUGAGUCAACCCAAUAGCUGAACCAAAGAUGGUUGUAACAAGAAAAGUCUUCUUCAGUGGAACAGUUUUCAAAAAUCCAUUAUACAAUCCAACCCCAAGCAGUGAUGCUACUGAGGUAACAAGCUUGACACGUCCUAGAAAUUCUGGUGUAAAACCAAGUUUGUUUGUGCUGAAAACCAAAACUUGUUAGAAUCGGAUGCAUUUAUAGAGACAAAGUCAAAGCGUCAAUUAAACACAUGUAGCUUUUAGAAAGUAAAGAAAAAUGAUCACAAUCAUCAACUGGACAUACGUGAAGUAAAACAUGGCAGAGUCCGAAUGAGGGGUUGCCUGCCACAAGAAAAUAAACAAUGUGGGAAAAAAUACAGUGGGAUGCCUAACAGCAUUCCAUAACUGAAUAAAAUUCUGUUUCCAGCUUUCAAGCAAGUUAGGACCAGCCAAAGCAAAAUUUGUCCCCUUUGCCGCACCAAUCACAGGCUGCUCAUUUACGAGAACAGCAACCACAGAUGUCAGCAGUGGUAGCAAAGCCGUGACACCAAAAACAAAUCUGAAACAUCAAAAAUUGAAGAGGAAGGGGAAAAAAAAAGAUUCCUUCAGAUGUUUAUGAACAAUAGGAAAUUACAUUCCAAUACAGCAACCUUAUGUACCUUACACCAUAAGCAUCCACCAAGGACCCACUAAAGUAGGAACUCACAAUUCCGCCAAAAGCUGAAGAUCCCCAACACAAAGACUGAAGAGAACCUGACAUACUUUGUGACUCACCACGAGCCCUCUCCACAACCAUGGAAUCUACAACCUACACCAUACUUCAGUUUUGACAUGGUUUAUACAGUAUGCCACAUAAGGAAAACGACUGAACAAAAAAUAAGACAAAUUAUUUCAUGUCGGAGGUUCUGAUUCUGCAUUCAACCUUUUGACCAAUGCAACCAUUUUAGGGCUUUUCCUCCCAAUCUUCUCAAAUGUUUUCAAUGUUAUCUUAUUUGGAAUCUCAAAGGAGAGAAUUGUGGAUCAGAGCCACCUAAUAUAUAUAUAAAUUCUCUCUUAGAGAGCAUUCUUUUUUAUUUUUAUAUUUCACCAUCAUCUCCCUCUCUUUAUACGUACAUAUAAAAAAUUUACUAAUAAUUAUCAAACUUACCCAGUUAAGUAACAGCAUCUCAUCCCUUCUAUCAUAUAGACUGUUGAGAUACACUAUAUGUGUACAUAACAUAAUCUAAUAUGUUCAGAGGAUUUUCCAUGUAGAAAUUUUUGAAUUUAAAGAACAAUCUAAAUAAAUCAUCAACUCAAUUUUUUUACUGAAAAACCAUGUUAGGAACAUAUUAUGACACAUGAGACAAUAUAGCUUUCCUUUACACUCAAACCUACGAAGGUAGUAACUAGCAGAUACUUACCACAUCAGAAAAGGCAACAGAAAGAGAUCCAAGAAUUAUGCAGAACGCAACGCUAAACUUGCCAUCAACAACAGUUGCCAUCAAGCUCCAUGACAGUGCACCAAGAAGCCCUGACAAAAUCAAGUAUGACCUUCUUCGGUACCCAAAUAGCGGGACAGAAUCACUGCAAGGACCACAAAAUUGUUCUAAAACAAAAAUAACAAAAUACAGUAACAGAGGGCUAGCAAAUUGAGAUAGAGAUAGCAAAUAGAUUCACACCUAAUAAACCCAUAGACGGGUUUAAUCAGCCAUGGUAAUGCAGACAAGCCGGUAAUCACAGCUGUCUAGUCAACCAGUAAAAUUUGUCAGUAAUCAAGACUACGAAAAUCAAAGAUAAUAAUACCCUUAUCGAAUUUAAACAAUUAAAAAGUACCCUCACAUUAGUAAUUCAAAGCCAGAAUGCCAUUAUCCCAUUAGCACCUUUUUCAAACUAAUUAUGAUCCUCAAAGUAAAUUCUUUACUAAUCAGUGCAUACCAACAUCAAUUUAAGUUCACAGUUCAUCAAGCAUGCAAUUGAAAAAGCUACAAUCUACAGAGGGAAGAAACUAGUUCCACAAAAAUGGAAAAGGUAUGAAAAUAAAGAUGUAGAUACAUACCUCAGCAGGGUCUAGAUGCAAAUCGUCUUUUAAAUAAAAACUGACAGCAAGCCUCGCAAGGCCAAGAACACCUUGAACAAAAUACACCAUGGCAACAGCCACAUUGUCAGGAGACAAAUGGACCCCGAAGAAUUUGAUCAUUCGAUGCUUGUUCUUGUGAGGAGCUGUUUUGCUAGGAGAAGGCAUGCUUGUAUCUCCUUCCGCAUUAGGUGUCAACACAUCCCUUUCUCCUGCACCUGGUAUUCAGAGAGUGGCCAAAGCUAAGUAAAGCUUCAAUCUUUAUCACAUUUUGCUAAAACCCAAUUUCAAAAAAUUCAACCAAAAAAAAAAAAAAAGAUUCAAUUUUUACACUUAAACUACGAAAUUAUCAUAGUAACAUUUCAAUAAAAGGGAAUUAAAGAAAAAAAGAAAGAGCUUACUAAUCCUGGAACCGAGGAACGGCGCGUCGUCAAAGUCGAGCCGGCUAGGGGGUGAGGAAAUGGGAACGGCAACCGACAUGUCGUUAUCGGGAAGACGCUUCCGACGAGUUAUGCGCCGGCGGCGAGUUCUUCUGUAGGCCCCGGAUACGAGGGUGCACGGUUUCCGGCGGAGCCGAGAGGCGAGAGGGAGUGGAGCGAAGGAGGUUGAGGACAAAACUGGAUUUGCCGAGGGUAAGAUUGAGAUUGAACAAAAGGCAGCUGAUCCCAUUAGAAAACUAAUUUAAUACGGAACUGUACAUGCAUGCUCUCUCCUGCGGGUGAUGAUUUUUAAAUUUUAAUAUUUAGAUUUGUUGUGAAACGACGCAAGUACCCCUUUCGUUACGGUAUUUCUGGCCAACAAAUGGACACGUCCGGGUUGCUUUGCCGCCAUCGCUGCUUCAGUGGAUCAGCCCACGGCCCAACCAAAAGCCUUUGGGCUAGCUUCACCCAAUAAUGAUGAGAAAUGCUAGACUUAGGCCCAAUAUAACACACAAUGUAGACGAGAAAAGAAAUGUGACACAAGAAGGAAGAAUAAGAGACGAAACUAGACUUAAUCGUUUUAUUAGUCCCUGAAUUUGGACCCGAUUUGCAUUUGAGUACCCCAAAUUCCUAAAUGGUUCUCGUGGUCUUUUAAUUUUAGUUUCGUUUGGACAAAUAGUCCUACCGUCAAUUUUGUUAACUUUUUCUGUUAAAUGUAGGGGCAAAAUGAUAUUUUUAUAUUAAAACUAAAAAAAUGAAUUAAAAAAAUCAUAUCUUUAAAAUAACAAUAAAAGAAAAUCAAAUAAAAAACCAACCAAAAAAAAAAUCAAGUUUGGGGGGAGUAGAAAUCGGGAUAGAUGGGGGAGAGAGAGAGAGAGAGAGAGAGAGUUUGAUUUUAAUUUUUUAGUUUUUCUAAUUUUUAUUCAUAUUUUAAUCAAUUUUUAUACAAAAAUACCAUUCUGCUCCUGUAUUUAACAGAAAAGUUAACAAAAUUGAUGGCAGUACCAUUUGUCCUAACAAAACUAAAGUUAAAAGACCACGGGAACCAUUUUGGAAAUUGAGGUACUCAAAUGCAAAUCAAGUCUAAAUUCAGGGACUAAUAAAACGAUUAAUCCACAAAACUAAUAAGCAUGUGGGUUAAGUUAGUUUGUUAAAGCAUUAUGAUAUCCCUUUACACUCAAAUUUGAUUUUCCUCUGUAAUGUAUAAGUUUAAAUUGAUUAUUUUUAAAUUGUAAUAUAUAAGUUUGCACAACUGAACUCAAAGCAUUAUGUUUAGUGGGUUACAAUUGAAAAUACAUAACAAAUUUUUUUUUUUUGGUUCAAUGAAAAUACAUAGCAAUGUAGGUUACGUUUUCUUUCUCCCACGAAAGCUACCUGGGUUGCAAUGCCCCUCCCCCACCCUAGUCUAUAAAUAAGACUUUUGCCCCAAGACACUAGGUAAUAGUAACUUGGCACAAGUAUUCUUAUUUUGUUAAAUUACUUAUUUUCCUCCUUCUUCAACUUACUUAAGCAUCGAAAGGCCUUCGGGUGGUACUACAUCGGUGCCUAAGGUCUGACCAUGUUUUUUCCAUUCUUCUUGCAGAUCACGUUCCCCUCUGCCAAAAGGGCCCACAAGACUAAAUGCAUAGUCAUCUCUAAGUUGGGUCCACUAAGGCCACCUCAAGCGCAAGCCCCCAGCAAGGGAAAAUAGCAGCCCUAGGCCCCAAACCUUCCUCCAGCAUGCAAGGUCCGCCCCAAGCAAGGAGUGGGACCCACCAGCCCGAGCAAGCCCACAGGCAAAAAUUGAUUGGGUUGUUGCCUGAAGGCUGCUAACGUCAGCAGUUGUCUUUCAAUCCAAAGGCUACAAUCUCCGUGGCUUCUCCUGGAGCCUCCGAUCCAAAAAUUUUAUCCAAUCCAACGGCUUUCUAAUUUUUGGCUCGAAAAAAAUUGAAAAAAAUAUCUAAAAAAUUUGUAAAAAAAUAUCCAAAAAUUCUGGAAUUUUUUUUUCUAUAAAUACCUACCAAUAUUAUUCACUUUCCACAUCAAAUUUUCUAUUACAAAAUUCUAUUUGUGCUAAAAUACAAAUGGCCUCUUCCAUCGAAGCCGGAGGGUCGCGUACAAACAUUCAAAGAUGUCAAAAUCUUGGCGACGAGGUAAAAAAAAUUAAUUGCCUUUUUAUUCAAUUUAAUGUCAUUUAAAAAAAUAUAUAUUUAUUGCAUUUCCAAUUUCAUUUUUUUAAAAUAGAUUAUUCAAGGCAAAAUAAAAAAGAGGAAAACCAUUACACAUGGCUCCUCAAGUGAACACUGCCCGCAGUCAGUUCCAGUGGUGUGUUCCGUGUUGGAAAUAAUGGCACUAUUACGUCCUCCGAAGGAAAGUACUCCCCCACAUCAUGAUCCAGUGGAAUCGCCUCCACCAAUGAUUGAGUCGUCCUUAUACUUGAUUAUGUCGGACUAUGAGGACCAGGAGUAUUUCAAUUGUAUGACGAGUGAGUAGGUAUUUUAAUUGUAUGAUGAGUGACAUGUGAAUUUUAUAAUAAAUAUGGACACGUGGCAACUGAAAAUCUUAUCUGAAAAUUUAAUCAUAAAAUUUUAUCCGAAAAUCUUAUCAAAAUUAAUGGUUUAAGUACAAAAAAUAGAAAAUAAAUUUAAAUGAAUAGUGUUUGCCCUUGCCCUUUGGGGUGGAAUCAAAAAAGGCAAGGCUGCCACUAUUUACGUGAAUAGUGACAAACCUUGCCUUGCCCUUGUCUUUUGGGGUGGAGGUGCUCUAAUUAUUAUUUUUGGGCAUCAACACACCUUUAAGUGUUGGGUUACAAAUGAAAACAUUUGAAUGAAUGAUCGAAUAUUAACACUCGGUUACAUUCAGAUGAGUGAAACUUAUAUGUAACAAGUGUAUCUCUCUCACAAUAAGUGGUCUCAUGCUAGAAUGUUGUAAGAGGGAGAGUGUAAGACAUGUUACAUGUAACUUUUUGUCGUAUAAAUGUGACGUGUUGCUCCAUUAGCUCUAUAAUUUAAAAUAUGGGAUGUUACUACCUCUAGUUAUGACUGGGGAGUCGUUUGUUAUAAGCUACAAUUAACUAACUUCCAUUUCCACUUUUAUUCUAUCUAUGUUCAUUGUCAAGACAUGUCAACUUAUUUUGUUUUUCUCUGAAAUGUCACUCUCGUUUGGUUUACAUAUUGGAUUUGGAGGUGUGAUGAAUGAUCAUGCAAGCAAACUUGGCUCUACUCUCGUUUUCAAUAUACAACAUAGUCUUCGCUUCUAGAUUUUGACACAAGGAAAACAUAACCCCGAAUCAAUUACCAAUAUAUUUAUUAUAUUUGUUUUGGUAGAGAGUCUCGCAAGAUUCUCUGCUUAUAUGUUAUAGUAAGUCCAAAAACCAUAUCUUCUUGGACUUUAAAGUUUAGUAUUUAUAGUUUAUAUUCAAACAAUAAUUAGAUGAAAGUCUAAAACCGCAUAAUUUUACACAUAAGCACGAUAUAAUUUAUAAAAGCACUGAAAACACAAGUAGAGGAUUUAGUCAUUUUAUUUUAUUUUUAAGGCGAAAACUAAAAUUACAAGGAGAAUCCUCUAACACCAUUUUAUAGGUGCGUACAAUUCAGACUACACAAGUUCAAUUAUAUGGGGAAGAAAUGCGGCCAAAAUAUACAAAAGUCUUUACCAAGAAAGAAAGGUAGAUACAUGUCUUGGUGUCUUACUUUGAAAAUUGGACUUAAUAUAAAAUUAGCCUUAUGCAGAAUUAUUCCCUUGAAAUCAGUUCAAGAAACUUUUUUCCCUAAAGUACGCACUCUUGCUCAGAGUGCUAAUCAAAGCUCCCAGAAUAUGAGAAUAAUCUAAUCAAGAAAGCUUUGAAAAGAUUGUAUUAAAAGAAGAAAAAGAAAUGAAAAAAAGAAAAGAAAAGGGCAAAGUGUCAACAUGUGUUGAAACAGACACCGUUUAUGAAAAGAAAAGAAUCUACUUCAACCGAGAUCAUUGGCACUAUGGACAACAAAAGUAAACAGAGAUCAUUGCUAGCUUUUGUCAUGCAUCAUCCUCAUCAUCAUCAUCAUCAUCACUACCAAAGCUUUGAAACCCAACAACAAUUACCAAAUUAUCAUUUCAACAAAAUUUAACUCUACAACAUCUCAGCCUUUCAUUCCCUCCUCUACAACUCUCUACAAGGAGGGGAAAGCAGAAAGCACUGAGAAAAAAAGAAAAAAGGAAAAUGAGGGAGAGCCUAGAGGAAAAAAAAGAGUAAGGGAAAUGAAAAAGAAAAGAGAUACACUUUCCCAGAAAAUUCAACUACCACUUUGUCUUGCAUGUAUCUGCAAUUCAUAGACUAUAUUUAAUGACACAAAAGAGUAUCUUUCCCUAUUAUUAGAACCAAAAUGAAAGGGAAAAAAAGAAGGCUCUCUCUCUGUUGAAGGCAAGACUGAUAUUUGUUGCUUUUCCAGUGAAGUGUCAGGAACAAUUUCCAUAGGCCUGGUCAGCUCACAGUUUAUCCACUCCCUCCUCCUCCAACAACAUCUCCUGGUAACGACAUUCACGGCUGCAGAAUGCCUUCUCACCCCUGCAAGAAUACACAAUUUAACACUUCAAUGGAUUGCUUAAAAUUGUAAAUGGCUGCAUAAUUUUAUUAUUAGUUGGUUGGAUGGGAUUAGAUGGGUUUAUUAUAUAGCAGAAGAUACCCUGAAUAAUAUUGGAUCUGUAAUUCUAAUAUAUUUUAAGUAACCCCAAUCCAUAAUUCUAUUAUAAUAUGAAUUUAUGAUUCUAGUAUAAUAAUAUAAGAUUCUAAGAUUAUACAAUUUGAGGUGGAGUCUCAGCCAUGACAUCAUUUUUUGUGCAACUAAUAAGCAUGAACAUUGGAUUUCAUGUGAGAGGCAGGAAAACAUGAACAUGAACAUGAACAUGAACAGAACAAAAUAUGAAUCAUAUGAUUAAAGAACAAAAAAAAUCUGAAAGUACUGAGAAAUAAGAUUGAGCUAACCUGUACAUGAAAAUAUCUUUGCCCGGCCCAAGAUUCUUCUUGCAAUUGUCACAGAAGCUGAGGAAACUCUCAGACAGAUAGCUUGAACCAUUUACCUUCCCGCCUGGAGAAAAUUCGGGGACACCCUCAGAGCUCUCCACAAUGCAAUUGUCAAAGAUAUGAGUGGUUUUUGGGUUUGGACCAUGGGAAAUCACACAAGUAUAAUCUUCAGAGAGCUCCAUUUCACUAACAGAGAGACAGCUUGUGAAAACCCGAGCCGAAUUCAUGGUCUCAAGGCCUGAAUUCGCAGAUUUAAAUGGGGAAUUCUUAGCUGGGGACUCAGACGAGACAGAGGAGAAAGAACCCAAUUGAGAAUUCUUGGUCCUGAUGCUGAAAUCAGCUGCAGAUUUUGGUGAAUCAGAAGGUGAGAGAACAGAAGGCUGCAGAUGAGGGAUUUGAAUCUUAAGCUGUGACCCAAAAAUAACCAUCCGGCUUUCGGGUUUUGAUGGUUUUGGAUUAGAGCCAUCAUCAUUGAGAGCAUCAACAAUGGCAAGGCCAAUGCCUUUGGGGUCCAAUUUGUCCCAUGGGCGUUUGGUUUCAGGUUCUGGGGUUCUUGGGGUGUUUGAUUCAGACCAGAAGGGGUUUCUUAGACCAAAGAAUGGCUUGGUUUCGAGUAUGGAAGUUGGGCUCAUUACAGCGUCGGUUUCAGAGUAACCUUUUGAGGUGAAACUAGUGAACAAUCUCGGAGAAGUGAAGAAAGACGAAGUGGGUUUUGUGUAUUUGUCUGCCGGGGAGGGUAAAGAGUUAUUGUCUGCCAUUAGAGCUUGCUUUCUGGUCAGUAUAGCUAUAUAAUUUCUCUGCAAACAAGAAAAAGAAAAUACAAAUGCACCCAAGAUGAGAACUUUAAUUCGACUUUCAACUUUGUCUAUGAGAGAGGGAGAGAGAAAUUACAGAGAAAGGUGAGGACUUUCACUCCCAAACUGCCACAGAUUGAAGAUGAAACUCCAGAAUACAGCAGAAGAUUGUGACUUUUUAAGCUCUAUGGUGUUAGAGAAUGGUGGAUGAAAGAGUGCUAGUACUACAGUCAAAACAACCAUCUUGAGAAAUCCCAGAAAUCAGAAAUUCCAGAAAAGAUUCCAUGAAACUAUUAUCUGCUAGAACUCUGUGACCUCCAUAUCUAAAAGACUCAGAAAAAUCCCAAGGGAAAAAAAGGUUAAAAAAAAGCUCACUGCUUCCGCGAGUUUCUCGCUCUUGCUUCUCUCUUAUCAACUCUGUCAAGCAAGAAAGAAAAGAGAGAAUCCCCAAAAGCUCAAAACCGACAUGCAAAGAGACCCUCUAGAGUCAUGAUCAAAGGACAAGACGUGCAUGCAUCAGACAACAGAACAAAGAAAGUUUGUAUUUUGUUCCUUCUUUUGCUUGUUGGGCUCAGCUUUAUUUCCACUUUCUUGUUUUUGUUUUCUUUUAUGCUCUGGUUUUGUGUCCUUGCUUAGUACUAAACUCUCAGCAAAACUGGUUUAUCAGAAAAAUGAUUCAGAUUUUGGAAGCAAACAAGGGCCAGCCCAAAUUACAAAGUUAAAAACAACGGCUGGUCAUGAAUAAAAACCCAGAAUGAAAACAAACAAAAAACUGGUCAUGAAAGAUGAUCAAUUGAUCAUCGUUAUGUGUGUGCCCUCCCUCUGACUCUUUAUCUCUCUUUUCUUGGUGGGGUUUCGAUUUCUUCUACUCUGUUUCCUUCUCUCUUUAUUUGCCCACUAAAUCAGUUUCUCAUCAUAACCCUGAAAAAUCGAAAUGGGAGUUGCAGAGAGGCUCAGAGAGAGAGAGAGAGAGAGAGAGAGAGAGAGAAGGGGGGGAGAGAGAGCUCGUGGAGUUUACGGGUUGGUGGGGUGAAUAUAAAGAUGCGUGUGCAUGAGAAUCAGUGGGUUUGGUUUUGCUAAAACCACCCACGCACUGUCCAGGUUAUGGAUCGAUCGAUGGCAGUUUUUUUCACGGCAGUUUUUUCUUUUGGCCAACAAUUUCUCAUCACUCUCUCUCAC